GGGAGGAUCCAUAAAUUGUGUCGUUGUAUAUGACGAGUCAAAUGUCAUGCCUAAUUUUCGUAAUGCGCCGUGUGUGACGUCACCUCCAGUCUGAAGAAAUGGAGCUCGAAAACCCUAAUUCAACAAUGAAUUCUGUAUGUUGCUAUGUGUAUGAAGGAGGUAUCUUUGGUAACCAGCCUCUCUCUGCCAAAAUUCAACGGAAGUAUUUGUCCAAUAGUCGUAAUCCAUUUUGUGCCUGUACAAAUAAAUUUUUAUUCGUAAAAACAAUGUCGUCUAACUUACAGAACUUGAAGAAAAUACGUGACAGUGUGAGAGGCGAUUUCAUUCCCUCUGUUGUAAAGUUCGUUAACCAGUCGAUAGUUUGUGCCUUCGUGAGUGACGUAGAAUGUCAUCCCGAUGUUGCAGCCUAUCAAUUGGCGUUCUUAAAAGGAUACAUCACGUCAGCCACGGCAUCGUCGAACGUGAGGAAUACCAUUUGCGGAAUUUCUUCCGGCUUCAAACCCAUGGGAGGCAUCGUGCUCAUGCACAAACAAUCAGGUGGGCGUUGCAAGUGUAGGCUCCGCAACCAGCGUAUGGAUUAGCACUAAAAGUGCAGCAAGGUUUUAGCAGCGGAAUGCUUAAUUAGUCUUAGACGUCCGACAGUAUGUCGUGCUCGUUGCUACGAGGCAGGAACUAAAUCGAGCAGUCCAGGUCUGGCAUUUUUCUACAGAAGGACUUAAACGGACACAGAUGCGACAGAAGUUUGACAAACAUCCCUGGUGUCCAUAUCUUUAGACAACUCCCCUCGCCUGUAAAUUUGAACGUUUUUCGAAACAUCUGUUUCUGCGAUAAAACCAGAAUCACAACGUUUCAAUACCAAAGAUAUGGAAACGUAAGAUCUGACCCACAAUUCAGAAUGUAGUAGGAGUCAAUGUUUGUUUUGCCUUUCUAUGGGAAUUUUCACGAGCGCGUCACUAUAGGCCAACAUUUAGGUUCUACAACAAUCGUUUGAUUCAGUAUAUUUCACACAGUUGCAACCUGAUGCGACGGUGACGCUUCUAGAUCGCAGUCCUGGCAUGUUCGUCAUGUGCAGGACAUCCGGGAAUAAAACGUAUCGUUUUAUUUCACACGAUUUUGGUAGAUGUGAGAAGUGACUGUGUCGAUUGCGAUGAAUAUGGUGUCACGAAGAAAUCAUUAAUGUCUUUAUAGACAAUAAUACUUGUUCGAACGAUCCAACACGAAAUCGGGGAUAUUUUUGGUUGAGUGAUUCACGCGAUGAAAAUAUGGUGCUCUCAUUUAGCAUUCGGUUGGAUAGCACAUGCUGCCUUGAUACAGAUCGGAGUGGGCCAUUGCCCUUCGUGCGAGAAGUUCCAAUGACACAAUCUCAUUUAUUUUUUGGUCUUGCCACUGGACGUUCCCCACGACCUGGGCAUGUUGUGCAUGAAAAAUAAUACUAAAAUUGUGAUGGUAAACAUCUGCUGUUAAACUCCUUGAGUUUGCAGUAAGUGGCAGAAUUCAAUCAUAAUUUUGUUUAUUAAAAUCCAAACUUCCAUUUCAGCCGACAGAAUUGCGUUGCUCUUCCGCUUUCACCUAUAUGUACGUACGUACAGACUACGAACAUUAUUUCUCUGUUGUCUCAGUCAAUUGAAUCAACUACUUGAGCGCAAGGAUGUUGACUGGAAGGGAGAAAGCCAAAUCGUGCUUCAAACUUUGUGUCCAGCUGAUUUUAUGCUGCGUGACUUUAAUUGCAAUUCUGUCAGCUGGGAUCAUAUCAAAGGGGUCUAUUUGCUUCAUAAUUUCGUCCAUGAGCAGAGACAGAACUGUCUCCAAUGAUUCCGAUUCUUUAUACCAACAUGCUGAACGAUUCGCUUCGUGGAGCAUUUUCUUCAGUUUCGAAGUUUCUGAAUUAUUCGGUUUUCUGCAAUCGCUGCACGUUUGUUUGUUUCGCCGGGGUUGUUGAAAGCCUCCUCGUUUUGCAGAUUUUAUGACUGUGUUUCUAUUUGAGACUGCACAGGCCAUAGGAAUGGCUUUGCUAUUUGGUUCCGUUUGAACGUGUUUUUCGGCGGUAGGCCUACACGGUGUUUUGAUCACCAAUUGCCUUUAUUUGAUACCUGUCCUGUUCAAUUUCCUAUCGCGGAAACCUGACAAACCCAAGCGAGUGGCUAAAAUGACGAUGGAUGGAUUUGCAUUUCUUGCGCAGUUGACUGGCUGUUUGCAUUGGACCUUAAUCUGAGACACAACGACCCUGUUGAGGAAUAGCUACGAUUCCAGUUUCAUCCAGUCAGUGGAUGAUGGACUGGUUUCGUCAAGUUUGUGACAGUUUAACUUCAGUGGGGGGUUACAUUUUCAACCUCCAGAAGGGAUACUGUUUAUGGGGAUGGGUAAGAAAGUCUUUUUUCCCGGAAUUUUUUGAGUGGAUCGUUCUCUUCUCUCUCAAAGUUCAAGGUUUUUCAGAAUAGGUAAUCGACCAAAAUCGAUCAAAGGCUUUCAUAUUUUGAUACAAGUUGUUUUUUAGUCUUUACACGGACAGUGUCAUGUUCAGUUUACAGCCAGGAAUCCAACCGUGCACAAUCGCACAUGGUUUUCCUGGAAUGGAUGUGUACAGCUUGAAUUUUUCUUUAAAACAAUGGCUUUAACGUGGCCACAGACUACUGUACAUGUGUUAACUAGUUCGUCUCGACGUUCAUUUAUCCCAACUUUCAAGUGAACUUUAGUGUGGAUAUCUUUAUUUAUACUACGUACCUUACAAACAUAAGGGAGUACUCGAUUUAGCAAGUUCAUAAAUGCAUGGAGUUAAAAAGAAAAUGUUUUCAUUUGUAUGUGUUCUGUAAAACGUUAACAGUACAUCAGUGUUUCUGAUU
rnacentral:lncRNA from 1 species